CAAACCCUGGAAAUUCUGAUGAGU
rnacentral:piRNA from 2 species